GGCAAUGGCUUGCACGGGUACGGGGAUAAGGGUUCGAUUCCGGAGAGGGAGCCUGAGAAACGGCUACCACAUCCAAGGAAGGCAGCAGGCGCGCAAAUUACCCAAUCCCGACACGGGGAGGUAGUGACAAUAUGUAACAAUAUACGGCUUUAUCGUCCUUUAAUUUGGAUGAGUUCAAUUUUAAUUCCUUUACCAGGGACCAUUGGGGGGGCAGGCUGGGGCCCCCCACCCCGGGAAAUUCCGCUCCCAAAACGUAUAUUUAAAUUUUUUCCAUUUAAAAACUCCGAAUUUGAACCUGGAACCGGGCCGGGGGGCCCCCCCCACGGGUGGACUGGCUUGGCGGGGCUUUUCCCUUGGGGAACCGGUGUUUCCGCCGCAGGGAACCCGGGACCUUACCUUGAAAAAAUUUAAGUGGUCCAAACAGGGUUCAACCCCGGAUAAAUUUACAUGGGAUUAUUAAAUAAGACCUGCGGGUCCAUUUUGGUGGGUUUUGGAAUCCCCCUAAAGAAUAAUAAGGAAAGUCCGGGGCCAUUAGACUCCCUUGCUAGAGGUGAAUUCUUGGAUUUUGUGAGAACUACUUCUGCGAAAGCAUUUGCCAAGGAUGUUUUCAUUAUCUAGCACGAAUCGUAAGGGUAUCGAAACGAUAGAUACGAUGUAGUCUACAGUAAACUAUGCGACUAGGGAUCGGUCGAUGUAUCUUUAUGACUCGAUCGGCACUACGGGAAACUAAGUGUUUGGUUC
rnacentral:rRNA from 1 species